rnacentral:rRNA from 1 species
UGGGGGAUAUUGCACAAUGGGCGAAAGCCUGAUGCAGCGACGCCGCGUGGGGGAUGAAGGCUUUCGGGUUGUAAACCUCUUUCGCUAUCGAACAAGGCCCGCUUAGGGUGGGUUGAGGGUAGGUGGAGAAGAAGCGCCGGCUAACUACGUGCCAGCAGCCGUGGUAAUACGUAGGGCGCGAGCGUUGUCCAGAAUUAUUGGGCGUAAAGGGCUUGUAGGCGGCUUGUUGCGCCUGCUGUGAAAACGCGGGGCUUAACUUCGCGCGUGCAGUGGGUACGGGCAGGCUUGAGUGUGGUAGGGGUGACUGGAAUUCCAGGUGUAGCGGUGGAAUGCGCAGAUAUCUGGAGGAACACCGAUGGCGAAGGCAGGUCACUGGGCCAUUACUGACGCUGAGGAGCGAAAGCAUGGGUAGCGAACAGG